CCUACGGGGGGCAGCAGUGAGGAAUAUUGGUCAAUGGGAGGAAUCCUGAACCAGCCAUGCCGCGUGAAGGACGACGGCUCUACGAGUUGUAAACUGCUUUUGUACCGGGAUAAAAUGCUCUACGAGUCGGGUAUUGCGAGUAUGGUACGAAUAAGCAUCGGCUAACUCCGUGCCAGCAGCCGCGGUAAUACGGAGGAUCCGAGCGUUAUCCGGAUUCAUUGGGUUUAAAGGGUGCGUAGGGUGUUCUAUAAGUUAGCGGUUAAAUAUCGAGGCUCAACCUCGGGGCUGCCGCUGAUACUGUAGGACUAGAGUUGGAAAGCAGCAGGCGGAAUGUGUGGUGUAGCGGUGAAAUGCAUAGAUAUUACACAGAACACCGAUUGCGAAGGCAGCGUGCCGGGCC
rnacentral:rRNA from 1 species